UAACAAGGAUUCCCCUAGUAACUGCGAGUGAAGCGGGAAAAGCUCAAAUUUAAAAUCUGGCAGUCUUUGGCUGUCCGAGUUGUAGUCUGGAGAAGCGUUUUCCGCGUUGGACCGUGUACAAGUCUCCUGGAACGGAGCGUCAUAGAGGGUGAGAAUCCCGUCUUUGACACGGACUACCAGUGCUUUGUGAUGCGCUCUCAAAGAGUCGAGUUGUUUGGGAAUGCAGCUCAAAAUGGGUGGUAAACUCCAUCUAAAGCUAAAUAUUGGCGAGAGACCGAUAGCGAACAAGUACCGUGAGGGAAAGAUGAAAAGCACUUUGGAAAGAGAGUUAAACAGUACGUGAAAUUGCUGAAAGGGAAACGCUUGAAGUCAGUCGCGUUUGCUAGGACUCAGCCUUGCCUCGGCUUGGUGCAUUUCCUAGUAGACGGGCCAGCAUCACUUUUGGCUGCGGGAAAAAGGUCAGAGGAAUGUGGCACCUUCGGGUGUGUUAUAGCCUCUGGCUGUAUACCGUGGCUGGGAGUGAGGAUCUCAGCACGCCUUCAUGGCGGGGCUUCGGCCACCUUCGUGCUUCGGAUGCUGGCGUAAUGGCUUUAAACGAC
rnacentral:rRNA from 1 species